GAAAGAAAAAAAAGGGAGGCGGUGGAGAGCAAGCGAGGGGAGCGCCCUGCGCGCCUGGGGAGCAGUUUCCAGGGCUGUGGGCGGUGCCAGGGCGCCCGCCAGCGGCCAUCCGCGGGCGUCUGGCUGCAUAGGUGUUCGAGUCCCGUUGCCUGCCGCUGUUUGUGUGAGCUUUGAGUUGGCUUCUUGCUUAGUCAACAGUUUCGUAAAGUAGAUGACUUCCCCUUCCCAGUGAUCAACCCCGUGUUCUUAGCCAGGACGUGCUUCAAGUCCAGCCUUCUCUAGUGACCUUCAGAGGGAGCGGCCAAUGAGAGAGAUGGGCUUUAUCACGGGUGACCCUGUCCCAUGCAAGUAGUCAUUUGCCUUCUGUCUUUGGCCCAGUGCUGUAGGGCAUUGUCCUCGUGCGCUUGAACGAAGUGGCUCCAGGCCACUUCCUCCAGGCAGCCCUCAGACUGUCUAGCCAGAAGCUGCUUUAGCUGGUCUCAUUGGAAGGGUAGACUUUUCACUUAACCCCUGGUGACUCCCCUUAACCUUAAGCUUGUGACCUCUAGCCUGUGAUUGACACCAAUUUAGACUCUUGGACCCUGACUUCCGAGGGUCGCUGCCAGUGUCUCCUGGUUGUUCUUAGUUGGUCAUUCACUGAAGAAGAGAAAAGUUGAGAGCCCAGAUUCCUGACAGUGGAGCUUUAAAGAGAUCGGACUUCUGGCUUGGAAAACAAUGUGAACCAUAUGUUUGCUUGGCCUUUGUCACUGUCCCCUGGAAUUCAGACAGGCUCUUAGUAGGGGUGACCUUCUAUUGAAUGACUGAGUGAAGGAGCUGCUGAUCAUUUGUACACGUCACUGUGGUUUCCUGCUGGAGCCUGGGUCCAUCCAUACAGGGGACAGAAAACUCACGUUCCUGGGGCUUACCUCCACUACUCUCCACCUUUAGCUUUGGAACCUAUCACUUGAUCUGUGAAAUUAGUGUUGGUGCUACAGAGUGGCUAUAGGUCAAAGGGACACACAACAAGCCCCAAACAGGUUAUCUUUCUGUUUUCCAGCCAUGACAAGUGAAGAAGGCUCAUAGUUUGAACAAAAUGUAUUUCUGUCAGCUCGUUUCUGGGAAAUUUCCCGUUUUGGUGUUGGAAAGGCGGCUUUGGGUGGUAAACAGGCUGGGUGGUCAUUGCCCCAGUUCCAGCUCUGUUCUGUGUGUGUUCCAGCUCUGUUCUGUGUUGGUCUCUUUUUCAUGGUAUCUUUUGCUUUGGGUGCAAAGGUUUCUGCUUCUUUCUUUUCCCACCUUGUAGUGUACACAACAGCUUCUCAGCUAUCGCUGUCUUGAAGGAGAAUCUAGUGGCUGCUCAGAGCAGGCCUAGUCAGAGUUGGGUGAUUACACUGUUUCUCCUCCUCUCAUUUUCUUUUAUAGAUGUCUCAUGCAUGCUGCCCCUGAAAACCUCUCUAUCAAGAUGGGUCAGUUUAAUAGAGGGGGAUUUAGCCUAAUGGUUUGUCCCUUGUCACCUGUUGGGGUUGUUAAGCUUUCAGCGUGUCAAACUUUCCAGGGGCAGGUACUCCCUUCAGAGGCAGUCUCUCACUGUUCACAGCUUUGCUGGAGAGAGCCGCUCCUGAGAGACUCUGAGAGCUCCUGAGAGCUCCUGAGGCAGGGGCUGUGACCCUUGUGCUUGAGGCCCAUGUGUUGUGCCUCUACCUUGCUCACACUGGUGGCACUCCAGAUGGUUUUCAUAACAACACACUGUCACCAUGCAUUUGCUUUGGGAAGUGUGUGUGGAUGGAAAGGUGGGGUGAAGUUUGGUUAUAAUUUUUUUUUUUUCCGAGACAGAAUUUUCCAAGAAGCAUCCCACAUGAUUAUGAUUUUUUUUUUUUUUUUUGUUCUGAAGGGGAAAAAAGUAACUUUGGAGUGGGGAAUAGUGAACAUUUUAAAACAUAUAUUGUAGAUUCAAAGUUGGCUUAAAAAACAUAAAAUAUACAUGGUGGCUUACAACCAUCUAUAAUGGGAUCCAGUGCCCUCUUCUGGUGUGUCUGAAGACAGCUACAGUGUACUCAUGUAAAUAAAUAAACAAUUAAAAAAACAUAAAAUAUAAAAACAAAUGAAUUU
rnacentral:lncRNA from 1 species